UUAAAUUGAAGAGUUUGAUCAUGGCUCAGAUUGAACGCUGGCGGCAGGCCUAACACAUGCAAGUCGAACGGUAGCACAGAGAGCUU
rnacentral:rRNA from 9 species